rnacentral:rRNA from 1 species
UACGAAGGGGGCUAGCGUUGCUCGGAAUCACUGGGCGUAAAGCGCACGUAGGCGGAUUGCUAAGUCAGGGGUGAAAUCCUGGAGCUCAACUCCAGAACUGCCUUUGAUACUGGCGAUCUUGAGUCCGGGAGAGGUGAGUGGAACUGCGAGUGUAGAGGUGAAAUUCGUAGAUAUUCGCAAGAACACCAGUGGCGAAGGCGGCUCACUGGACCGGCAUUGACGCUGAGGUGCGAAAGCGUGGGGAGCAACAGG